UGGGGAAUUUUGGACAAUGGGCGAAAGCCUGAUCCAGCAAUGCCGCGUGUGUGAAGAAGGCCUUCGGGUUGUAAAGCACUUUUGUCCGGAAAGAAAUCCUUGGCUCUAAUACAGUCGGGGGAUGACGGUACCGGAAGAAUAAGCACCGGCUAACUACGUGCCAGCAGCCGCGGUAAUACGUAGGGUGCAAGCGUUAAUCGGAAUUACUGGGCGUAAAGCGUGCGCAGGCGGUUUGCUAAGACCGAUGUGAAAUCCCCGGGCUCAACCUGGGAACUGCAUUGGUGACUGGCAGGCUAGAGUAUGGCAGAGGGGGGUAGAAUUCCACGUGUAGCAGUGAAAUGCGUAGAGAUGUGGAGGAAUACCGAUGGCGAAGGCAGCCCCCUGGGCCAAUACUGACGCUCAUGCACGAAAGCGUGGGGAGCAAACAGGAUUAGAUACCCUGGUAGUCCAGCGCCCUAAACGAUGUCAACUAGUUGUUGGGGAUUCAUUUCCUUAGUAACGUAGCUAACGCGUGAAGUUGACCGCCUGGGGAGUACGGUCG
rnacentral:rRNA from 1 species